CAAUAAGAGUAUCUGAUGUAAAUAUUUCCUUUGGAGAAAUGACAUACUAACCAUGUUUAAAGUGAGUAAUUUGAAUUUGCCAUUAUUUUCACAUUUCUAAUAUAAGUAUGAUAUAUUGUGAAAAUCAAGUCUUUAAUUUCUUUUUGGAUAAAGGAUUGCCUGAACCUUAGUAUGGCUUCAAAUUCACAAUAUACAUGGGCAUGACCUUGAACUCUUACUGUGAUUAUAGACAUGGACCACCAAACUAAUAUUUUUGGCCUCUUUUUUUCCUCCAGGUCUAUUCCUAAAAGACAGUAGAUAAGAGACCAGGAGGUACUACAUAACAACGGCUUCUAAAAUCUGGAAGAGAAGAAGCCAUAAUGCUCUGAUGGAACUUCCAGAAGAGGAUUUGUCAUACCAACCUCAUUGUACUCCAAGGAGACCACUUUCAGCACUGUUAUCUCCAUAAGCUAAUGCAGGGGAAUAGAUCUGCCGCUGAUGCAAUGCUCCCUGCCGUGUGGACAGAAUCUUCACACUUCCUGAGACUCAUGCAUAUGCUAACGAGGAGAGUGUGA
rnacentral:lncRNA from 1 species